rnacentral:rRNA from 1 species
GCUAAACGCGAAGAACCUUACCUGGGCUUGACAUGCAUCUCUAAGCGCGUGAAAGCGCGUGACCCUUCGGGGGAUUUGCACAGGUGCUGCAUGGCCGUCGUCAGCUCGUGUCGUGAGAUGUUGGGUUAAGUCCCGCAACGAGCGCAACCCUUGUGAACAGUUGCCAGCGGUUCGGCCGGGAACUCUGUUCAGACUGCCCAGAUCAACUGGGAGGAAGGUGGGGACGACGUCAGGUCAGUAUGGCCCUUACGCCCAGGGCUGCACACGUACUACAAUGCCCAGCACAAUGAGAACCGAUGCCGCGAGGUGGAGGAAAUCUGCAAAACUGGGCCCAGUUCGGAUUGGAGGCUGCAACUCGCCUCCAUGAAGCCGGAAUCGCUAGUAAUGGCGCAUCAGCUACGGCGCCGUGAAUACGUUCCCGGGUCUUGUACACACCG